rnacentral:lncRNA from 1 species
GGCUUGAGUCUGGAGCGUGGGCAAUUUAAUAUGGGGGGCCAACACGAGAAUUGGAUGAGUCUUACUCUUAUACCGUGAUAAAGAAAUGGACAUUUGGCCUAACUUAACCCCAAAAGCUAGCUCAUAAGAUGAAGAUUACCCAAAGACAAUAUGAAGAGGCCUUUCCAUCCCUUAAUGGCCAAUGUGGGACUCAACUCCCCCUCACACACGGGACCUUUGGCCUAACUUAACCCCAAAAGCUAGCUGAUGAGAUGAGGAUUGCCCAAGACAAUAUAAAGAGGCCUUCCCAUCCGUUAAUGGCCAAUGUGGGACUCAACUCCCCAUCACACACGCAUGAAUGGACAUCUGGAGCAUGGAUAAUAUAAGAUGAGGCCCAACAUGGGUAAAGGAAUUAGGAUGUGCUUGGCUCUGGUACAACGAUAAAGAAAUGGACUUUGGACCUAACUCAACUCCAAAAGCUACCUCGCGAGGUGAGGAUUGCCCUAGACCAUAUAAGGAGUCCAAUACUCGCAUCCCCAAUCCAUGUGGGAUAUUCAACAUCCAGUUUGGUUGUGUAACUUUGGAUAUGGACAUAUAGGUUAGCUUAAUCUAGAAGAAGCAAU